GACUCACCCCAACUCAGCAGCGACAGAAGCUCCUAUACUCAGGACCUUCCCAGACUUCCCCCAAGUGUCUCUUCAUCUGGUUGUUCAUCUGUAUCCUUUAUCAUAUCCUGUCAUAAACUGGUCAAGCCCAACCCUUUGAGGUGGGUCCUGUUAUCUCCAAAUUAUAGAUGAGAAGACUGAGGGUCAGAAAGGAGCUGUUGCUUGGAACAGGUUAACACAGAACUCAACCCCAGGACCAAACCCAGAGGGGACUUAGGAAAAGGAAGAUUAGCCCUGAGCUAACAUCCACUGCCAAUCCUCCUCUUUUUGCUGAGGAAGAUUGGCCCUGAGCUAACACCCGUGCCCAUCUUCCUCUACUUUAUAUGUGGGACACCUGCCACAGCAUGGCCUGAUAAGUCCACACCUGAGAUCACAGCCGGGGAACCCCAGGCCACCGAAGUAGAGCCCUCGAACUUCAAUACGCCACUGGGUCUGCCCCAAAGUUGCAUUUCUUUUGUUACUAUUAUUGUUACAAAUGGCUUCACAUGUUUACUGGUCAUUUACACUUAGUUUUAAAUCAGAUGUCUGUUAUGCUCCGUGCCUGUUCCUACUGGGGUGGUGUCUUUUUCCUAUUGAUUUGUAAUGAUAUCAACACUUUUUCAGAUAUAUAUUGAAUUGUCCUAAUUUAUCCUUUGCCUAUUAAUUUUAUGAUUUUUUUGAUGCACAAAAUCUUUUUGCUGUCAUAUUUUUCAAUCUUUC
rnacentral:lncRNA from 1 species